GCAAAGCCCUAUUGAGCAGGACAUGGCCAUCAUCUCCUUUUACAAGCGGCCUCCUGUGGAAUGGGCACACCACUGAACUGCUUUCUUGGAGGAGAUGCUGCUAUUGGACUGGGUGUAACUCGCCAUUUUUUCUCCAUAUGCAUGGAAAAACUAAAGUCUGGAUUUUCUUUGAGUUUCGCAAAAACCAAUGUAACACCCCUUUUUGAAGGAGAACCUGGUCAUUUGAUCCCUUCAGCCUCUCCGUUUCUAAUGAACAGUGACAUGUUC